rnacentral:rRNA from 1 species
CCUANGGGAGGCAGCAGUGGGGAAUAUUGGACAAUGGGCGCAAGCCUGAUCCAGCAAUGCCGCGUGGAUGAAGAAGGUCUUCGGAUUGUAAAGUCCUUUCGGCGGGGACGAUGAUGACGGUACCCGCAGAAGAAGCCCCGGCUAACUUCGUGCCAGCAGCCGCGGUAAUACGAAGGGGGCUAGCGUUACUCGGAAUGACUGGGCGUAAAGGGCGCGUAGGCGGCUUGGUUAGUUAGGCGUGAAAUUCCUGGGCUCAACCUGGGGGCUGCGCUUAAUACAGCCGGGCUGGAGUGUGAAAGAGGGUCGUGGAAUUCCCAGUGUAGAGGUGAAAUUCGUAGAUAUUGGGAAGAACACCGGUGGCGAAGGCGGCGACCUGGUUCAUUACUGACGCUGAGGCGCGAAAGCGUGGGGAGCAAACAGGAUUAGAUACCCUGNUANUC